GACAUAAUUUUAACAGUUUUAGAACCCUUAGAGUGUUUUCUAUCUAUAUGCAUAUCCUAGCUUCUGGGCCUGAGUAAUAGGCAGUUUACUUUGGGCACGCUUUUCAUCCGGACGUGAAAAUACUGCCCCCUAUCCCAAAGAAGCUAGCUAGCUGUCUAAACAAAAGACUCCACUAUGCAAGUAACCAUUUCACUGUACCGUUUACACCUUCUGUAUCUUGUGCUUGGAUUUUAUUUGAUAUAGUGUGUGUUUACCAGAGACGGUAAUGUGAAGAACAGCAUGACCUGCACCAAAGUCAAAUGAGAAUAUAACAUUAGGCCAACGAGACAGUGUCAAAGUUCUAAUAUUCUCCAGUAGAAUGCCCAUCUUUUAUUUUGUCACACUCACAACCAUAAGUUAUUCUCUGUAAUUAGCUUGCCAUUAACUUGAUCUUGUUGUGAGUAUAUUUUCCUGUAAUAAUUAAUACAAAUUAGCUAUAUGAUAUGUGGGGUUAGAAACUUAUCAACUUUCAAAGCAGAAUUACUUUCCCAUUGUUCCUCAACUGUAGUGUAUGGUAUACAAUUUUCUAGCUCUGAGUCUCUACUUUAAUCCUAAGUAAAAAACACAAUUUAACAUUUUACUUCAUAAGACCGAAUCGAGCCUGUCGGUCAAAUUUUAGCAAACCAGUAGAAUCAAAAUUCCCCAAAUGUUCCGGUGCGUUGCCACCACACGUCGUUCUCCAAAUUCCCAAAAUGUUGAGGAGUUCUGGUUGCAUGUGGUCGCAUGUUGUUCUCGGCAAACGACGAAAAUACCCCUUGGUCAUGGUGUUCCCCGGUUGUCCGUCUGUCCAUGCAUCUUGAGCUGCACUCAUUGGCAGCAAGGAGGUGCUGAAAGUGGGUUGGCUUGAUAUGGUACCAGAAAGAGUUGUAGACUAGAUAAGUUACUCUUCAGUGCAGCCAUCAAUGACACAUACAACACGAAAAUCAGCACUAUGACUACGAGUACUAUUCAUGUCGCUCAAUAAGGAUUUAAGUGUCAGAGCCACAGAUACAUACCAGAUCACACAGUGCUAACUAGCUAGCUACCUUUUCAGUUGUAGUACCCCAUCAAACUUGAACUAAUUCCCUCACUGAUGCAGAAUACAGGUGAAAAGACCGAAAUGUUUGAUGUGACAACAGCGUCUUAUUUUUCCCAAUGCAGUUAAGCCAAAACCACGCCCCGUUACUCAGAGGGACGUUCUACUACGCUCCCAUUGGCUAGCUAGCGUUGUCUCACUCACAGGUGAUCAGCUCAGAGACAGUGGCCUUCCAAGGUAAGGAUGGAAAGUGUAACUUAACAAUUAGCUGCCUUCCGUAUUGCAGGCCUAUUAUUAUCAUGUUUGGUAACAUUUGCCCAUGUAUUUUUUCAGAGUUGUAAAAAUGUCUCUGAAUUCCCUCAAUUGAAGGUUAGCUAAGUUUACCUAGGCUACUUAAAGUUACUAGCUCGGUAUUUGAAGUUGUUAUAUUAUCAUUAGUGGUCUAUUAUCAGGUAAAAGCAUAUGCUUAUUAUUCAUAAUUUCUCAAAUAUUUAUUAGCUAAUCAUUCAGUUGAAUACGGUAUGCUACAGCCAUUGAAUUUGUCUUUGAGCGUUAAGCGACGUUAAUUGUCACGCUGAUAUAAAGGGAUCGGGAGACAGGCGCAGGAAUGCGUGAAAUGGGUUUUUAUUUUCCAAAUUACAGCGUGCCGUGUAAAGGAACGGGGACGAAGAUCAAACCAACACAUACACAAAACCCAAACAAAGGAGUGAGGAGUACUUCGACUAAAUACACAAUCACACGGGAGGAGACCCGUAAUUAUCUGCACAAUUUUUUUUUUACCUUUAUGUAACUUGGCAAGUCAGUUAAGAACAAAUUCUUAUUUUCAAUGACGGCCUAGGAACAGUGGGUUAACUACCUUGUUCAGGGGCAGAACGACAGAUUUGUACCUUGUCAGCUCGGGGAUUUGAAUUUGCAACCUUUCGGUUACUAGUCCAAUGCUCUAACCACUAGGCUACACCACCCCCCCAAAAAAACAAAUAGACAUGGCACAAAAGCCAAAACAACAUAGCACAGGUACUCACAGGACCAACGGACAUUGGAACAAUAAUCGACUGGACAAUGGUGAACAAAGAGCACACUUAUACAAUUACUAAUCAAAUUCAAAUAGAGAGCAGGUGUGCGUAAUGACAGUUCCGGAGGGAUCCGUGACAUUAAUGGCUAGCGCUGUCCAUGACAUUAUGUUAUAUAUUUUGUAUUUUUCAAUCUUGAAAUCCAAGGGCAAAUGUUAUUAAUCAGUGACUGAAAUUUUGCGCUACGUAAUAUUCAAUUCCAGACUUGGAGACUUGGAGAGUGCUCAAAGUGUUGUAGAAUGCCUCUUUGAAUAAUGGGGCGUGGUUUUGGCUUAACUGCGUUGGGAAAAAGAAAGACGAAUGACAAUGAUUGAAUGUAAGGGUCACCCCAUUAUCAAACAUAUAACGGUGGAAGACAGCUAUGUUGUUCCAUUCAAUACGAUAUUUUAUUACGACAGAUUUCUCUAUUUUGGUUUGUGUUUUACCGUGAAUUUGUGAAUUUAAUUGUUUAAAACAUUUAAAAACAUGCACAAUCAACUGUAUAGAUGUGACAAACACCCCUUGGUUUGAGAAUGAGAUAGUACUGUCCACAAGCUAGACAAGAAGCGCACCUGCCACCCAACGUUCCUUUUCAAAUCCAGCAAGUUCAACUUUCUAGUUCAACUGUCAUUAAUAGCAGCCAUGACAUUGUGUGUGUGCCUGUGCAAAUAAUAUGCAUUUAUCAGCAAACGUCUACAUCAAGUCAUGGACAGAUUGGAUGAUAUUUCAAUUGCAACCCUUCAAAGUAAACUGUUGAUUUGAAUUAUUAUCUAAGUUAGCUAGCUUGCUAACGCAUUAGUGAGCUAGCUAGCUAACGUUAACGUUAUUUAUAAACUGGGUAGUUUGAGCCCUGAUUGCUGAUUGGCUGACAGCGGUGGUAAAUCAGACCAUAUACCACAGGUAUGACAAAACAUUUAUUUUUACUGCUCUAAUUAUGUUGGUAAUCAGUUUACAAUAACAAUAAAGCGCCCCAGGGAUUUGUGGUAUAUGGUCAAUAUAUCACGGCUAAAGGCUGUAUACAUGCACUCUGUGUUGUGUCAUGCAGAAGAACAGCUCUCUUAGCCGUGGUAUAUUGGCCAUAUACCACACCCCCUCUGGCCUUGCUUAAGUAGCUAGCUACCAUCCCGAGCUUGUCAGUGUCAGCUAGCUAAGCCAGCUGACGCUAGCUAGUUAAGUUAACUUAGUUUGUUCACAAGUUAGAUAACGUAGAUGCAACGACAACGUGUAAUUCAAACUGGCUGCAGAGCUGACUAGCUAGCUACCUAGUCAUGUUCAAUUCUAGCUAACAUUGGCAAGAUGGUGUCGCAAGUCAUUUCAAGCAAAGACCAUUUAACCAAGAAAUGAUAGCUAACAUUAGCUAGCUAGCUAGUUCUUCAGCCAGUUUAAUUUCAUGUGGCAUCUGUAUGUGCCUUUUAAAAUUCCCCAUGAUGUUGAUAUCAGCUGUGAAAUAUAACCUUACUGUAACUUUACUCUGAAAAUGUGCGUUUUAUUUUAUGUCGAAUGCUCUAGUUGCAAAGUUGCAAAAACCAUUAAACUUACUGACCAGCUAACAUUAGCUACCUAAUUAGCUAGCUAGUGAAAUAACCUAUUAUCUACCACGAUAUUGCUAAUGUCAGCAUGGUAAUGUUAUCAUUACUAGCUAACCGUUAGCAAAAUGGCAUCGCAGGGGUUAUCAAAAUGGAAAUGGGUACGGUUGGGUACUUCCAAAUUAACAAAUUGUAACUAAGGACAUUGGUGUCUAUUUAAUUGGGCGAAUUUAUUUCAGCUGCCAAUAUCACUGAAGACCUGUUGCCAAGCCUCUCCUGUGAUGAUAUCAGAGAUCUCUUACCAGGUCCAGAAUGUUUCUUAACCUGUUGGGGCUAGGGGGCAGUAUUUGCACGUCCGGAUAAAAAAACGUACCCGAUUUAAACUGGUUACUACUCUUGCCCAGAAACGAGAAUAUGCAUAUAAUUAGUAGAUUUGGAUAGAAAACACUCUAAAGUUUGUAAAACUGUUUGAAUGGUGCCUGUGAGUAUAACAGAACUCAUAUCGCAGGCCAAAACCUGAGAAGAUUCCAUACAGGAAGUGCCCUGUCUGACAACUUGUUGUCCUUCUGUUGCAUCUCUAUCAAAAAUACAGCAUCUGUGCUGUAAUGUGACACUUUCUAAGGCUCCCAUUGGCUCUCUAAAGCUGCCAGAAAGUGGAAUGGGGUGUCUGCUGUCUCUGGGCGAAGAACAGCAGGAGAGUUUGUGAGUGGUCAGCCUGGGGACAGUGAGACUGAGAUGCGCGUUCCCGAGAAUUCAAUUAUUUAUUUUUUUCAGCCUUUUAAUGAAUACAACGUUGCCCGGUUGGAAUAUUAUCGCAAUUUUACGAGAAAAAUAGCAUAAAAAUUGAUUUUAAACAGCGUUUGACAUGCUUCUAAGUACGGUAAUGGAAUAUUUUGUCACGAAAUACGCUCGCGUGUCACCCUUCGGAUAGUGACCUGAACGCACGAACAAAACGGAGCUAUUUGAAUAUAACUAUGGAUUAUUUGGAACCAAAACAACAUUUGUUGUUGAAGUAGAAGUCCUGGGAGUGCAUUCUGACGAAGAACAGCAAAGGUAAUCCAAUUUUUCUAAUAGUAAUUCUGAGUUUAGUGAGUCCCAAACUUGGUGGGUGUCAAAACAGCUAGCCGUGAUGGCCGAGCUAUGUACUCAGAAUAUUGCAAAAUGUGCUUUCGCCGAAAGCUAUUUUAAAAUCUGACACCGUGAUAGCAUAAAGGAGUUCUGUAUAUAUAAUUCUUAAAAUAAUUGUUAUGUAUUUUGUCAAUGUUUAUCAUGAGUAUUUUAGUAAAAUCAACGGAAGUUUUUGGUGGGUAUGCUAGUUCUGAACAAAACAUGCAUGUGUUGUAUAACAUAAUGUCCUAGGAGUGUCAUCUGAUGAAGAUCAUCAAAGGUUAGUGCUGCAUUUAGCUGUGGUUUUGGUUUUUGUGACAUAUAUGCUUGCUUUGAAAAUGGCUGUGUGAUUAUUUUUGGCAGUGUACUCUCCUGACAUAAUCUAAUGUUUUGCUUUCACUGUAAAGCCUUUUUGAAAUCGGACAAUGUGGUUAGAUUAACGAGAGUCUUGUCUUUAAAAUGGUGUAAAAUAGUCAUAUGUUUGAGAAAUGUAAGUUAUAGCAUUUUUGAGGUAUUUGUAUUUCGCGCCACGCGAUUCCACUGGCUGUUGACUAAUUAAGGAGAAAAGCCAUAUUGCAAGUGGCUCAUCAGGAUCAUGAGGGACCAGAUUUAGAUCAGCAAAAUGUGAGACCUUGUGCAUAAGGUACCUCCAGUACCAGACCCAGUGACCCCAGCACUCUCCGGUCCAGUAAUCCCAGCACCUCCAGAACCAAAGGCAGUGACCCCAGUACUCCCUGGUUCAGUAACCCAAAUAUCUCCACCAGAGCCAAUGGAUGUGCCUCCACGCCCAGUACUUGUUACAUUUUGAAUGCCUAGCAGGACAGGAAAAUGGUUUUAAUUCAGCAUAGGGUAAUAUUCUACCAGUCGUUUGGCCAUUGAAUUUACAUCACGCUUCGAUGGAUACUUGAAGUCCUCUAUUGUAGCUCGUAUUAUGGAUAUUAUGUUGGUUAUAUUGAUUUCCAAACUAGACCCUAGACCCCUCAAACUCAACUCUGGACCUCGCAGCCAGUUACACUGCAUUUUUAAUUGUUUCCUCUAACCAGGGACUGAUUUAAACCUGGAACUCCAGGUGUGUGCAAUUUAUCAGGUACGGUAUCAUUGUUCUUAUCUGAUAAAGGUUACUAUCACAAUGGCAGCACUUAAACAUUUUCUCACAUCAUGUGAAUACUCAGAUGGGUGAGGGAUGCAUGUUGAAAUGUUUUGCUAACUGUUCUUAUCUGGUACCAGUUACUAUCCCAAACAUACAGGCAGCUCUUAACCUUUUUUGCAAACCAUGCAAACCCGGGAUGCAUGAGUGUUAUAAUGUUUUAAAUGAUCUGAUUCAAGUGACUAUCACAAACAUACAGGCGUUGCUCCUACCUCCUUUUUUGUGUAUGUAUAUACAGCAUUAGAAGGCUGCUGUCAAGCUUAGCCAUGAACACGCUG
rnacentral:lncRNA from 1 species